UACGAAGGGGGCUAGCGUUGCUCGGAAUCACUGGGCGUAAAGCGCACGUAGGCGGAUCGUUAAGUCGGGGGUGAAAUCCUGGAGCUCAACUCCAGAACUGCCUUCGAUACUGGCGAUCUCGAGUCCGGGAGAGGUGAGUGGAACUGCGAGUGUAGAGGUGAAAUUCGUAGAUAUUCGCAAGAACACCAGUGGCGAAGGCGGCUCACUGGCCCGGUACUGACGCUGAGGUGCGAAAGCGUGGGGAGCAAACAGG
rnacentral:rRNA from 1 species